UCCAGACUCCUACGGGAGGCAGCAGUGGGGGAUAUUGCACAAUGGGGGGAACCCUGAUGCAGCGACGCCGCGUGGGUGAAGGAGCGUUUCGGCGCGUAAAGCCCUAUCGGCAGGGAAGAAGGAGGACGGUACCUGACUAAGAAGCCCCGGCUAACUACGUGCCAGCAGCCGCGGUAAUACGUAGGGGGCAAGCGUUAUCCGGAUUUACUGGGUGUAAAGGGGGCGCAGACGGCAGCGCAAGCCAGGAGUGAAAGCCCGGGGCCCAACCCCGGGACUGCUCUUGGAACUGCGCGGCUGGAGUGCAGGAGGGGCAGGCGGAAUUCCUGGUGUAGCGGUGAAAUGCGUAGAUAUCAGGAGGAACACCGGUGGCGAAGGCGGCCUGCUGGACUGCGACUGACGUUGAGGCCCGAAAGCGUGGGGAGCAAACAGGAUUAGAUACCCGCGUAACG
rnacentral:rRNA from 1 species